rnacentral:rRNA from 14 species
UGACGCCUGCCCGGUGCCGGAAGGUUAAAAGGAGAGGUGAGAGCUUUGAAUUGAAGCCCCGGUAAACGGCGGCCGUAACAAUAACGGUCCUAAGGUAGCGAAAUUCCUUGUCGGGUAAGUUCCGACCUGCACGAAUGGCGUAACGACUUCCCCGCUGUCUCCAACAUAGACUCAGUGAAAUUGAAUUCCCCGUGAAGAUGCGGGGUUCCUGCGGUUAGACGGAAAGACCCCGUGCACCUUUACUAUAGCUUCACACUGGUAUUCGCCAAGGCAUGUGUAGGAUAGGUGGUAGGCUUUGAAACCCGGGCGCCAGCUCGGGUGGAGCCACCCUUGAAAUACCACCCUUAUCUUCGUGGAUAUCUAACCGCGGCCCGUUAUCCGGGUCCGGGACCGUGUGUGGUGGGUAGUUUGACUGGGGCGGUCGCCUCCUAAAGAGUAACGGAGGCGCGCGAUGGUGGGCUCAGAACGGUCGGAAAUCGUUCGCUGAGUGCAAUGGCAUAAGCCUGCCUGACUGCGAGACUGACAAGUCGAGCAGAGACGAAAGUCGGUCAUAGUGAUCCGGUGGUCCCGCGUGGAAGGGCCAUCGCUCAACGGAUAAAAGGUACGCCGGGGAUAACAGGCUGAUGACCCCCAAGAGUCCAUAUCGACGGGGUUGUUUGGCACCUCGAUGUCGACUCAUCGCAUCCUGGGGCUGGAGCAGGUCCCAAGGGUAUGGCUGUUCGCCAUUUAAAGAGGUACGUGAGUUGGGUUCAGAACGUCGUGAGACAGUUCGGUCCCUAUCUGCCGUGGGUGUAGGAAUAUUGAUUGGAUCUGUCCCUAGUACGAGAGGACCGGGAUGGACACACCGCUGGUGGACCUGUUGUCCUGCCAAGGGCAUUGCAGGGUAGCUAUGUGUGGAACGGAUAACCGCUGAAGGCAUCUAAGCGGGAAACCGGCCAAAAAACGAGUAUUCCCUGAGAGUCGUGGAAGACGACCACGUUGAUAGGCUGGGUGUGGAAGUGCGGCAACGCAUGAAGCUUA